rnacentral:rRNA from 1 species
CCUACGGGGGGCAGCAGUGAGGAAUAUUGGUCAAUGGACGCAAGUCUGAACCAGCCAUGCCGCGUGCAGGAUGACGGCUCUAUGAGUUGUAAACUGCUUUUGUACGAGGGUAAACGCAUAUACGCGUAUCUUUCUGAAUGUAUCGUACGAAUAAGGAUCGGCUAACUCCGUGCCAGCAGCCGCGGUAAUACGGAGGAUUCAAGCGUUAUCCGGAUUUAUUGGGUUUAAAGGGUGCGUAGGCGGUCGGAUAAGUUAGAGGUGAAAUCCCGAGGCUCAACUUCGGAAUUGCCUCUGAUACUGUUCGGCUAGAGAGUAGUAGCGGUAGGCGGAAUGUAUGGUGUAGCGGUGAAAUGCUUAGAGAUCAUACAGAACACCGAUUGCGAAGGCAGCUUACCAAGCUACUUCUGACGUUGAGGCACGAAAGCGUGGGGAGCAAACAGGAUUAGAUACCCUAGUAGUC